AGAGUUUGAUCAUGGCUCAGGAUGAACGCUAGCGGCAGGCUUAAUACAUGCAAGUCGAACGGCAAGGGACUUUCGGGUCCCCUAGAGUGGCGUACGGGUGAGUAACACGUACACAACAUGCCCUUUACUGGAAAAUAGCCCUGGGAAACUGGGAGUAAUAGUCCAUAAUAUUAUUUGGAGGGAUCUUUGAAUAAUUAAAGCUACGGCGGUAAAGGAUUGGUGUGCGUCCCAUUAGCUAGUUGGUAGGGUAACGGCCUACCAAGGCGACGAUGGGUAGCUGGCGUGAGAGCGCGACCAGCCACACUGGAACUGAGACACGGUCCAGACUCCUACGGGAGGCAGCAGUAGGGAAUAUUGGACAAUGGGCGGAACCUGUCCAGCCUGCCGCGUGGAGGAAGACGGCCCUCUGGGUUGUAAACUCCUUUUGAAAGGGAAGAAACCUCUCUAUUUAUGGAUGAGCUGACGGUACCUUUCGAAUAAGCACCGGCUAACUCCGUGCCAGCAGCCGCGGUAAUACGGAGGGUGCAAGCGUUAUCCGGAUUUACUGGGUUUAAAGGGUGCGUAGGCGGUUUUUUAAGUCAGUGGUGAAAUACCCGUGCUCAACAUGGGAAUUGCCAUUGAUACUGAAGGACUUGAAUAUGAGUGAGGCAGGCGGAAUGAUGCAUGUAGCGGUGAAAUGCUUAGAUAUGUUUCAGAACACCUAUUGCGAAGGCAGCUUG
rnacentral:rRNA from 1 species